GAUCUAAAUAGACCUCGCUUUUAUUAUUGUUCCAAUUACAUUGGACAGCUGAUAGAUUUGAAUCUUGACGAGUAGGAAAGUUGGCCAUGGCAACGUGCUAUGCCUUAAUCUGUAUGUAAUCUCCUUAAUGUGUCAAUGGUGAACAUGGAAGAAAGUCUGUUAGCUAUGUCCAAAUAAGGUUCCUCGAAGAUCUGUUUUCAUCAAUCUGAGCUGUAUCCCUUUCAAUUUGAUUUGAACUAUCAAAUUUGGAUAUCAAUUCUCUUCAGCUCAUAGGGGCAGACAAGAUGUGCUUAUCCUUAAUCUUUGGAGAAGCGAAGAAAAAAAAUAUGAUGAUGGUAUUAAAGAAUGCACAAAAGCAUUGGAGCUAAACCUUAACUACAUAAGUGUUUUGCUAAGAAGAGCAGAGGUGUAUGAAAAGUUGUAACAAUUUGAAGAGACUAUAGCAGAUAUGACAAAGGUUUUGGAAGUUGACCCAUCAUAUGAUCAAGCUAGAAGACAGAUUGUUCGCUUGAAGCCAUUAGCAGAUGAAAAACGUCAAAAGAUGAAGGAAGAAAUGAUUGUUGACCAUUGGUGGUAUGAACUUCUUUGGGUAGUUGCUGUUAAAUGAUUCUUUUUUGCUCUUCACGUGUAAAUAUAGGAAUGCUUCAUUUUUGCAAAAGAAAAUGUGUUCUAGGGGAGAAGAGUGGAGGAGGAGGAGAGGAUCUGGAAUUUUUGCAAAAGUAAAAGGAGCUAGUGUGAGCUGAGGUGGCUAGUGCAUUCGGAAGAUUCUGGAGGAAGGGGAAGGUUAAUGUGAGCAGAUAAAGCUUUGCUUCAGGUGCUGCUAAAGAAUAGAUGCUUGUGGAAGUGGACAAACGAUUACUGAGAUUAGCAAAAGGA